ACUGAAAGCGUGUGGACCUGAGAAGUAAACGUCCACGAACAUCCACUGACAAAUGACGUGGUGCUGGCAAACAUAGUCCCUUAUGUAUAGAGGUUUUUGGGAAACCCUGUACAUACAAGAAUCUACAGCAGGGGUAUCCAAAGUCUGGCCCAGGGCCAAAUGUGGGCCACAGUUUCUCUAUUAAACCCAAUUUCUAUCCUGGUGAAGCCCUUUAGAAAAGUAUGUCACCAGAGCACAAACUAAAGCAGAGAGACUCAAUCGUGACUCAAAGUUUGAGCAGGUAAAAAUGGAAAAUGGCCACUCCAGGGGGUCUGGCUUUGUGCACUCCUCAUCUUCCCAGGAAGUCAGGAAGGCCAAGAAUGAGAUGAAUGGCAGGAUUUGUGGCAGGAAUCCAGUGUGUGUUGGUGUGACUCAGUGCAAAGAGGAACGCCCGGCUUGCCUUGCCGAUCAGAACAUGCAGAGGACGGCGAGCAUGCAGAUGUCCAGAGUAUGCCCGAUCUGGUUGAACCUGCACUGCGUCAGCAGACCACUGGCACCAUCACACCAUCAAGCAGUCAGGUGCCGUGUGUGACUGUAGAGUGUACAAGUGUAACUACAGCAACAUCUGUAGAUACUGUUCUAGUGGCAGACUCCGUGUUGGCUGUAGAAAAGUAUUUAGUAGUAGACAGUGUCCCAGCUGAACAUACAGUUCCAUCAGUAGAAGGUGUCCCAGAUGUCGACACUGUUCCAGCUGUAGAUAGUGUCCCAGUUCUAGUUACAGUUGCAGAUGAGCUUUCAGCUCAAGCUCUAGAUGCAGAUGUUACAUGUCUACCUUCUACAUCUAUGGUAUCUGAAAGUGAUUUGCAGCAGGACAAGGACACAACGGAUGUAUCAAUGUGUCCAGCAGCUGAAAAGUGUCUGACCAUUUACAUGUUGUAGUCCGCUCCGGUAGAUGACCAGAUCCAGAUGGCGCAUG
ensembl:lncRNA